GAAAGCAGACUGGAGACUUUACUGGGGAAGUAAAGGACUCAAACUGGGGAGAAGAAGAUUUCCAAAGGACAACACAUCCAUUGGAAAGACACAAGCUGACUCAAACUAUCCACAAAGGAUACUUCGGAUGAAAAUCCGGACUCGGACCAAGGAAUGAUUCACAAAGAGCCUCCCUGCCGGGGAAAAUUGCAUAUAUUGGGGAAAACGCCAAUACAGCAAAAGGGGUAAAAUCACAACAGAAACUCCACUGGAGAAGGU
rnacentral:lncRNA from 1 species